rnacentral:rRNA from 1 species
CCUACGGGUGGCAGCAGUGGGGAAUAUUGGACAAUGGGGGGAACCCUGAUCCAGCCAUGCCGCGUGUGUGAAGAAGGCCCUCGGGUUGUAAAGCACUUUCAGUGAGGAAGAACGCCUGGUGGUUAAUACCCAUCAGGAAAGACAUCACUCACAGAAGAAGCACCGGCUAACUCCGUGCCAGCAGCCGCGGUAAUACGGAGGGUGCGAGCGUUAAUCGGAAUUACUGGGCGUAAAGCGCGCGUAGGUGGCUUGAUAAGCCGGUUGUGAAAGCCCCGGGCUCAACCUGGGAACGGCAUCCGGAACUGUGAAGCUAGAGUGCCGGAGAGGAAGGUAGAAUUCCCGGUGUAGCGGUGAAAUGCGUAGAGAUCGGGAGGAAUACCAGUGGCGAAGGCGGCCUUCUGGACUGACACUGACACUGAGGUGCGAAAGCGUGGGUAGCAAACAGGAUUAGAUACCCUGGUAGUC